rnacentral:rRNA from 1 species
AUGGACCAAUCCAUCCCUUUUUCCCGUGCAUAUGCAUCGGACUCGGAUGAUGAUGGUCCCGAUGAAGAAGUUGAUGAGGAGGGGUUCACGUCGAAGGAAGCCGAAUCAUUCAAGAAGGUAUUCGGGCGGGAUCACAAGACACCAUUGUUCAAGGAUCUUAGUCUCGCGGGUGAAGCCGUUGUGGAUGGUGGCAAAUGCAUAUCUCUUGGAGCUAGGCCAAGUUCUCAC